CAAUAUAUAUGAUGCACUAAGUGGGAAUGUAGUGUGAAAAUACUGUUCUUGUGCUUAAAAUUGAAAGGCAUGUCACCCCACUGUUUUAUUUUCUUCCUUUUACAAUGUUGAACAGAGUAACAAUAACAAACUGAGCCUGUCUGAUUCUAUUGUGCGUGACUUUGGAGUUGUUUGCCGUCGUACGCGGUCGUUUCUGUCCAGCAUCGUCUCUUCUCGACACGAAGAGUGCUCCGUUUCAGUAAAAUCCAGACUGUAAGGCUUUAAGUUUCACCUGUACCUCCUCAAUGUUCCAUACAUUCAGCAUGAUUGGUGUGGUUUUCUCCGCCUUCUCCGUGGGUUCCUGUCAGGUGACCUGCCGCUUGUUGAUAUUAAAUUUGUUCCUUUAGAGCGUAACACACACACGGUGUUAUGUUACUGAAGGCAUGUCAGCUGUACGGCUCGGUGUGACUCUGAGGAGAGCAAUAGCAAUCUCUCUCUCACACACACACACCCACACACACACACACACACACACACACACAAAACAAAACCCAAUACUGUCCUGUUUCAUUGCUCUUCUCUCUGUAGACCUCUUUCACAUCGACCCUAAGUUUAAGGCUUUAUAAUUUUCCAACAGUUUAUCCGUUCUUAAAAACACCGUGUUUAAAAACAACACAACUGCUGUUACUCCACGUGGCAAACACUAAUAUGUGGUUUAUAUGUUUUUCUUUGUGCUUUGUGUUUUAGUCCUUCAGUUUGCACACAGAUCUUAGCAGUUAGCAGUUUUCUUUGUGUGUGUGUGUGUGCUGUAUUUACUUAAUGAAGGCUAACCCUGUGGGUUUUCUUGGGUCCAUCAUCACAAACAUUAUUUCAUAUUGACCUCGUCUUUUCCCGUCAGUUUUACAAUUAUGCUCCCACACACACACACACACACACACACACACACACACACACUGCACUCACCACCAUAUUUUUUUGUUAGGUGCUUUCAUUUCAUUUGAUCGUUUGUAUAAUUUUAUUUAAAGCUAAUAAGUAUUAAUUAUUGUUGAGGUUGUUUAGAUUUCCUUUCAGCUUCAUGCGAAAAGAUUUACUGCUUGUGGUGUUUGCAUAAGAAACUAAAAUCAACUGUGCUAUAGUGACAAAAUGGAGAAACUUAAGAACUGAUGUUAAGGAACCACUACAUGAAAUGCAAACGUUUUCUGUUGUUGUUGUUUUCUGUUUUUAAGAGCGUUGAAUGCUCCAGUUCUAGAUAUAGUUAAGAAGCUUAACUAUAGACGUUUUUUUUUUUUUUCUUCCUUUUCUCUAACGUUAUUUUCAUUCUCUGCAGCCAUACAGCGAUUAUAGUGCAGUCGUAAUCUAGUGCUCACUUAAUAUAAUGUUCACCUGUUGAGGAAAAUGUUUACAGAGGCAAAGUUGAGCUACACUAAUUUUAAUUUUAUUUAUGUUUUCUCUUACAGAACUCUUACCUUUUUUUUUUUUUUUUUUUUUUUUUUUUUUUUGUAUUGACUUAUUUUGUCUGUAUUUCUCUUUUCAGUUGUUUAAGGCUAAUAACUCGGACAGAUAUGAAUAAUGACGUUUCAGAAACGUUCCCGGCUGAUCUGGAUGUCUGUGUUUCAGUCGUGGCACUGUAUUGUUCGUCCUCUCUGUGUGUGCAGGAAGUCUUGUAUUUUCCUGAUGGUCCUUUGUUUUUUCUUUGAAAAUAAACUCCUAAGGUAAUUUAAGGAAAUUUGUGUGAUUUUUACUUUUUUUUUUUUUUUCCCCCCUCUCAAGGUGUUUAAUGCUUUAGUUGUCAUGUUGAAGGUGAUGUACUGAGUGUUUGAACAUUUUACUGGGGACAUCAUUGGCUUCCUCUUUAUUAUUUUGAGACAAGUCCCGCC
ensembl:lncRNA